AGCAGCCGCGGUAAUUCCAGCUCCAAUAGCGUAUAUUAAAGUUGUUGCAGUUAAAAAGCUCGUAGUUGAAUUUCGGAAUCUGUCCGUUGGUCGGGCUUCACUGUCCGUACUGGUGUGAUGGGUUUCUACCUUCUGAAUAACCGGCAUGUCAUUAAUUUGGUGCGCCGGGGAAGCAGAACUAUUACCUUGAAAAAUUAGAGUGCUUAAAGCAGGCUAUCGCCUGAAUAGAUUAGCAUGGAAUAAUAAAAUAGGACGGCAUGGUUCUAUUUUGUUGGUUUCUAGGAUCACCGUAAUGAUUAAUAGGGAUAGUUGGGGGCAUUAGUAUUCAAUUGUCAGAGGUGAAAUUCUUGGAUUUAUUGAAGACUAACUUCUGCGAAAGCAUUUGCCAAGGAUGUUUUCAUUAAUCAAGAACGAAAGUUAGGGGAUCGAAGACGAUCAGAUACCGUCGUAGUCUUAACCAUAAACUAUGCCGACUAGGGAUCGGACGAUGUUAAUUUUUAAUGACUCGUUCGGCGUCCUU
rnacentral:rRNA from 1 species